CUUGCACUUCUAGGCCUCCAGAACUAUGAGAGAAUAAAAUUUCUCUUAUUUAAGUCACCCAGUCUUUGGCAUUUUGUUAAAGCAGUACAAGCUGACUAAUAUAGUCAGGAUCAUCGAUUUACCUGAGGGUCAGGCAGAAGGAUGAAAUCAGAGAGGACCAUAGAUUAUCUUCUAAGAUUAGAAUUAAAAAUCAGGACAUACAACACUCCUGGCCAUUUUUUGGUCUAUCAAUAGUUUACUAACAACCAGCCUUCAAGAAGCAGUCUAGAGAAGGAGUCCAAGACAUCAACAGGCCCACACAAUCCCAUGUGAGUUUCAAGAAAGAAAGAGAGAGUGAGCGAGCAUGCUUGUGCAAGUGCACACACCUCGGGGGAGGGGCACAAGAAGAAGCCAUCUUCCAUCUGAGCUGAGUAGGGAACCUGAUGCGGGGCUCAAUCCCAGGACCCUGGGAUCAUGGCCUGAGCCAAGGCAGAGAUUUAACUGACUGGACCACCCAGAUACCCUGUUUGUGACUUGGGAAAAGAGGGUUUCCCACUUGUUUCCCAGAGACACAUGGCUGUUGCAACGACUCCUACCUUCA